UGCAAGUCGAGCGGACAGAUGGGAGCUUGCUCCCUGAUGUUAGCGGCGGACGGGUGAGUAACACGUGGGUAACCUGCCUGUAAGACUGGGAUAACUCCGGGAAACCGGGGCUAAUACCGGAUGCUUGUUUGAACCGCAUGGUUCAAACAUAAAAGGUGGCUUCGGCUACCACUUACAGAUGGACCCGCGGCGCAUUAGCUAGUUGGUGAGGUAAUGGCUCACCAAGGCAACGAUGCGUAGCCGACCUGAGAGGGUGAUCGGCCACACUGGGACUGAGACACGGCCCAGACUCCUACGGGAGGCAGCAGUAGGGAAUCUUCCGCAAUGGACGAAAGUCUGACGGAGCAACGCCGCGUGAGUGAUGAAGGUUUUCGGAUCGUAAAGCUCUGUUGUUAGGGAAGAACAAGUACCGUUCGAAUAGGGCGGUACCUUGACGGUACCUAACCAGAAAGCCACGGCUAACUACGUGCCAGCAG
rnacentral:rRNA from 1 species